CGACCGAGUCGCUGCUCCUCAGUGCCAGCCCUUUCCGCCGCGCCGGAUCGCUCGUCAUCUUGGGGACCCCGAAGGGAUGCCGCCGGUGUGGGAGGCGCCCACGACAGUGCGGGCUGGGGACCGAGCGGCGGGGGACGUUACGGGUUCCGUUCUAGGGCUAGGUCGGGAAGUCUAUCGUGUUUCUGUCGGAAAAUCUUGUGAUCAAUGGGUUUACUAAAUUAAUUUUGGGUCUAUAUUAAGGGGCACCGUCUAUUCUUGUCAUUCGAAUUUGCAUUCUUGCAUCAGAAGUUCACGAGAACUGUCAUGAAUAGCACAAUGCCUUUCAGUUUGUAGACUGAUAACUGUAAUAAUAUAACUAGAGAGCAUUUCCUAUCAGAUAAAUAAACUGAACAUCACAUCUUUUGAUUUCUGUUUGGCCUCCUGGGAACGUAGAGUAAUUUAACACGUCAUUUUUCGGUUUAUUGUUCAAAAUUGUUUCACUUCACAUGAUCGUGAACAUACAUGAUGUGUAUGUAUUUUUUAAUUUUGUGUCUGGUGACCUCAAUUUUUAUGCCUUCUACAGGUGAGUUGCUAACAAAAUUCUAAAUGUACAUGCUCCAGGUAAAUUUCUGGACAUAUAUGUUAUAUCUAUAUGUCCUUUCUACGAGGACAUAAAAUGCAUCCCUAUUUUCUAUCUACCAUUUUGUAACCCUUUGCAGAAUGGUCUGGGGAGGUUCGCAACAUUGUCUACUCAUCUGAUCGGAAAUCUGUAUAUGUUGUCGAUCGUGUGACUCUAUGGAACUGAUGGGGAGGUCCCACUAUUUGAUUAGUGGACGCAACUGAUGGGGGCAUGGAGAUGAUGGCAAGGCAUCACGCUGUGGUGGUGGCGAGGGGGCCAUCGAUGAAGGCGGCGAUGACAGGGGCUGCCUACAAAAGUGGUGCAUGGAUGGGGGAGGUGAAGUGGCGAGGGCUGGGAAGGUGGAGAACGAUAAUCGGGGGAGAUGGAGUGGUGGCAAGAUUGGACGAGCUCACCUCCGGAGUGUGUGGGCAAGAUUUCCUUUUCGGGUCGGCCGGCUUUUUUUUAAAGCAUGUGCAUGCAUGAGUUGGGGCUUAUUUCCAGCGGUGAACAUGCAUGGGUAAAACCGUUUUCUUUUGCGAAAGGGGAGGGGAGACAAAAAACGGAGGUGGGAGGGGGAGCCGUACAUGGUGGGAGGGGUGGAAACCCUGGAAGCUGGGCCUGGGAUGAUCGGGCUGUCAUGAAUGAAGUUAUUUGUUUAUAGUGUCACAAGUGUGUAUUGUAUAAUCGUUUAUAUAUUUGUCGUAUAUUUUAUUGAAUUUAGGUGUGUGUGCAAGGUUUUCAUACCUUGAAAUUAUGAAUAUUGUGAAGUGCGAGCCUCUCUCUUCUAGAAAAUCAUGGAAUUGGCUGACACACCAUUAAAUAAUUUGAUGCCACAUGCUUAUUUUAAA